rnacentral:rRNA from 1 species
AACUGUAGUAAUUCUAGAGCUAAUACAUGCCACUAUGCCCUGACCCGCAAGGGAAUGGGUGGAUUUAUUAGAACAGAACCAACCGGUGGUGACUUCGGUCGCUGCCGUUGCACUCUGUGAUGACUCUGGAUAACUUUACUGAUCGCAGUCGGCCUUGUGUCGGCGACGGAUCUUUCAAAUGUCUGCCCUAUCAAUUUUCGAUGGUAGGUGACCUGCCUACCAUGGUGAUAACGGGUAACGGGGAAUCAGGGUUCGAUUCCGGAGAGGGAGCCUGAGAAACGGCUACCACUUCCAAGGAAGGCAGCAGGCGCGCAAAUUACCCAAUCCCGGCACGGGGAGGUAGUGACGAAAAAUACGGAUACGGGACUCAUUAGAGGCUCCGUAAUUCGAAUGAGUACAAUUUAAAUCCUUUAACGAGGAGCAACUGGAGGGCAAGUCUGGUGCCAGCAGCCGCGGUAACUCCAGCUCCAGAAGCGUAUAUUAAAGUUGUUGCAGUUAAAAAGCUCGUAGUUGGAUCUGGGUCGCAUGGCUACAUGCUGUUGCUCGUAAUCCUGGUCCGGUUCACACUGGGCUGGUUUAUGAGUCGGCGUCGUGGUUGUGCAGCCUUUCUGCCGUGUCUGUUUCGACAGGUGUUGGCAUGAUUGGUGGGUUCGUCCUGCUGAUCUGUCGGCAUGCUUCCAGGUGCCCUUAACCGGGUGUC